CCUACGGGAGGCAGCAGUGGGGAAUAUUGCACAAUGGGGGAAACCCUGAUGCAGCGACGCCGCGUGAGUGAAGAAGUAUUUCGGUACGUAAAGCUCUAUCAGCAGGGAAGAAAAUGACGGUACCUGACUAAGAAGCCCCGGCUAACUACGUGCCAGCAGCCGCGGUAAUACGUAGGGGGCAAGCGUUAUCCGGAUUGACUGGGUGUAAAGGGAGCGUAGACGGCAGCGCAAGUCUGGAGUGAAAUCCCAUGGCUUAACCAUGGAACUGCUUUGGAAACUGUGCAGCUAGAGUGCAGGAGAGGUAAGCGGAAUUCCUAGUGUAGCGGUGAAAUGCGUAGAUAUUAGGAGGAACACCAGUGGCGAAGGCGGCUUACUGGACUGUAACUGACGUUGAGGCUCGAAAGCGUGGGGAGCAAACAGGAUUAGAUACCCCGGUAGUC
rnacentral:rRNA from 1 species